GGAAUGUUGCGUGCGGGGACGUACUUCCCACCCCACCCGACCUCCCCUCUCGCCAUAUUGGGCUCCGGUGCCGCUCGAAGCCCGUGAGGGGUGAAGCCGGUUCCUGCCCGGCACCCUGAGGCGAUGGCGGGGGAUGCAUGGGCUUGAUACUGUACCUUCAAGCUGUGCUAAGACCAGACCACUGCCCUGGCAACACAUCUGCACUGGGAUGUGAGCAGCAGCUGUGAGCAAUGAGCAGUAGUACAGGUGAUGGCUUUCAACAGAGGAACAACUGAUCUCUAAGGUCAGGUUACAUGGUACAGGUGAGAACAGGAUCCUACUUAUUGUGGGGCUGUGAGGGGCAGAGGCUGGAUGUCAGAGUGGUGGGCAAGGGAGUGACCAAGGAAUACCAGCUGCUGAUUUGUAUAGGUGGACGGUAAGGCUGCACUCAGUUUCACCUCCCAAUUACCUCCAGGCACUAAUUAACCCAUGCUUCAUUGAACAGGCUAUUUUUAGAGAGGUGUUUGGUGAAGAGCCCCUGGGACAUGUCCCAUUUCAAUUGUCAGCAGCAGCAGCAGCCCUGAAGUGCUGAUGAAGAUGCCCUGGUGCUGGAAUCUUCACUGCCUGUUGUAAGGAGCAAGAGCACAUCGAGGAGACAAGCAUCCUACCUUGCUUUAUGUUCAAAUAUGUUGGGAAAAGUGGCACAGAAGCUACUGCUUAGAGCUUUGAUUCACUAAACCUAAUUAAGACCUAUGCAGAGGGGAAUUUGGCAGUGGUAUUUUAUGGAGAACUAGGUAUUGCUUCCUUGCCAUGUGUAGUUACCCAGCAGGUAUGAGGAAGGUAGUUUAUUGCUUACCUGCUGGGGGUACAAGGAAUGAGAGCUGACUCUCUAGACUGAUGCUAUCAGGAGCAAACACAUAAACGGAGAAAAACAGUGGAUGAGGAGCAGCUCGAGUGAAACUAGACACAGGAACAGGAGAAGAAACAGCCUGCCGGUAACCCAAAACACAACUAAGAUGACAGUGCAACAAGGGUGGACUGUAAGUAGGGUUGGACUCCCAGGUACUGCAGAGGAGAAAAGGAGGUCAUAGAUACUUCGAUAUACAUUUUAUCUUCCUUUUUUUAAUCUGAUAGCUUCAUAUGUUUAUUUCAGCUUUAAUAAAAAGGGGCUUACACAGUUCUCACAAAGCUACCCUUCCUCAAAAGGGGAAGGUGAUAGGGGGAAUUAUUUCAGAUCUGUUGCAAGGGAGGAGGGAGAAAAUUAAUUUAGAUUUGCUACAAGAGCCACGGCAGGAACCAAAGGCAGAGAUAGUCUGGCAUGGGAGGGCUGUAAGGUUUGUCCUGAUAACUAGAGGACUGGAGUAAGCACUGAGUGGUGCCCUUCCACAAGGACUUUACUAGGGCUGUGUGAUUAUCAUGCUCCCUGGAACUGCAGCAUGCAUGCAUUUCCCUGCAAAAGUGCAUCCCUCUCUGUCAGCAAAAGGGAUGCUGAAGCUCUCAGCCAAGUGCUGAAUUUCUGGCAGUACAGAGCAAUUCAGCUUCCAGCUGCUGCUGCACAGAGAAUUAAUCAAUGCGGAAGAACCAGAGCAGAGCAAGCCCCACAGCUCCCAAGGGGGUGGUUGGUUGUCACCCUGGUCAUCUGUCCCCAGCUGACAUGACACACAAGCUGCAGAGGGGAAGCAUGAAGCAUUUGCUUACUGCUCUCUCCCAUGCUUUGAGUGAAAACACAGGGUGCAGCUUCAUCCCUCUGAUUUAGCUAGGUGUGGGAGGGGAGUACAGCCCUUCUCUUGCAGUGUCUGUAGAGCAGCAGUGAUGGUGUUUGGCACAGAAUGACAUUUCUUCUUGGCUGGACUUAAUUCUAGUGACAAUUGUCUCUUUCUCCUUUCCUUUCCCUCUGCCUGUGCUUGGAAAAUUUGCACCAAGAGAAACAAACCCAUUCUAGGCUGCCAGGGCAAGAAGCGCAAAUUAGAAACCAACCUCCCGUGGCGUUAUAAAGAGGGAAAUACCAGAGUUGUGCAGCAUUACAAACUAACACUUCCAUUUUGCCAAGCUGGAAAGUAAUGGAAAUUCUGGAAGCUUAAAGUGGUUCAUUUGGUCCAAAAAUGUGAGAGACUACCAGCUCAAAAUGAUUCUCCCAAAUUGCUCUGAGUAGUGUUCUUUAGCCAAAAUAAGUUUCUCAAGGUGCAAGUGGCUGUGGGUAGGAAAAGAGAGAACAUGUCUACUACAUAUGUGUUUGUUAGCAGACAAGCUUCUUGCUUUUGAAAGGGGAAGAAAUUAUGAACUCAGGGAUAAGCAAACAGUGGAAAGUAGGUCUGUGAAAAUGUGCAAGUCCCAUCCGGGGACAUUUUUGUUUUAACUGAAGCAGAUGUCCAGCCUGCUGACAGUAGCUGGCACUAUCUUUCAUUGCGCCUUGGCUCUAGUCCUAAUGCCACUACAGCUGCAUCCUCCCCCACUAAUAUAAUAAAGGGGCCAAAAAGUGCUGUUCUGACAUGCUCUCUGCCUCGUGCACAGAUAACUUGUGGGUACAUCAAGACAGGAAACUAUUUUUUUCCAGUCUGAGCUUAAGUAUGAACUACUAUGAGGAGUGGUUCCUCUCCCCCAGUCAUCCAGAACUAUAGCGAGAAGAGAUAGAAGGUGAAAGCAAAAUACCAGCUCACAGCUUUCCAUUAUCAGACCAGUACAAGUUAGAGCAGCAAGGGAAGGCUCCAUCUGCACUACGCACCUGUGAGUUACUGCAGGGCAAGUAAGCCUAGGCUGGGCUGCUCUGCUUCCCCAUCCUUGCUGGAGCUUUCCUGCAUCAGUAUGCUGGAGAGAAAUGUGUCAACUCUGUUACUGUGUACAUUCCCUCGUUUCUCCCCUUGUUUAAGGGAAACGCUGGAGAAAAGUUUGCCAGAGACUCUCAAGGCUCCAGGAGACCUUUCAGAAAUAAGGUCUAGACUCGGCUUGAAAAGCCAGACAGUGCACAGCAGCCUGUGUGUCUGGGGGGGCAGGAUGCCAUUCCUGCUCAGACCAAGGGGGCAACAGACCCACAGCUGGGAGACAUGAGAGCAAGCUGCACGAGGGCAAGCUGAGGUGAACUGGCCUCUUCAGCAGAAAUAUCCACAGAAGACCAUGCACAAACACACUGUCCCUGCAGUCAGAACUACUGUCCCACAGAGCAACACAGGCAGAAGGGUGAUAAGAACAAGAGGUGUUGUGGAAGCAUGGGACAGAUGUAUUUCUGACGUACACAGGAGAAGAGACAGUGAGGUGAUGUAGCAGCUUGGACCAAGUGGAAAGAGUGUGAUCAAUCUGGAACAUGAGAAGGAAGAGAAUGUAGUUAAUCAUCAUGCUGGUCCUGAAAAUCUCCAGAGAAAUCUAAGUUCUGUACCUUUUGGGCUAUGGAAAAGGGGCCCAAGACAGGCCACAUAUGACAAAACAUUUGAAGUAGGACAGCAGAAAA